rnacentral:rRNA from 1 species
UACGUAGGGGCGAGCGUUGUCCGGAUUUAUUGGGCGUAAAGAGCGUGUAGGCGGCCAGGUAGGUCUGCUGUGAAAACUCGAGGCUCAACCUCGAGACGUCGGCGGAAACCAUCUGGCUAGAGUCCGGAAGAGGAGAGUGGAAUUCCUGGUGUAGCGGUGAAAUGCGCAGAUAUCAGGAAGAACACCCGUGGCGAAGGCGGCUCUCUAGUACGGUACUGACGCUGAGACGCGAAAGCGUGGGGAGCGAACAGG